CCAAUAGCGUAUAUUAAAGUUGUUGCAGUUAAAAAGCUCGUAGUUGAAUUUCGGGAUCAAUUAAUUGGUCGUGCCUAUGGUACGUACUGAUUUUAUUGGUUUCUCCCUUCUGACGAACCAUGAUGUCAUUAAUUUGGUGUGGUGGAGAAUCAGGACUGUUACUUUGAAAAAAUUAGAGUGUUUAAAGCAAGCUAACGCUUGAAUACAUUAGCAUGGAAUAAUGAAAUAGGACGUUUGAUCCUAUUUUGUUGGUUUCUAGGAUCGACGUAAUGAUUAAUAGGGAUAGUUGGGGGCAUUAGUAUUCAAUUGUCAGAGGUGAAAUUCUUGGAUUUAUUGAAGACUAACUACUGCGAAAGCAUUUGCCAAGGAUGUUUUCAUUAAUCAAGAACGAAAGUUAGGGGAUCGAAGACGAUCAGAUACCGUCGUAGUCUUAACCAUAAACUAUGCCGACUAGGGAUCGGAUGAUGUUAAUUUUUUAAUGACUCAUUCGGCGCCUUAC
rnacentral:rRNA from 1 species